UGCGGAGGGUGCAAGCGUUAUCCGGAUUCACUGGGUUUAAAGGGUGCGUAGGUGGGCAGGUAAGUCAGUGGUGAAAUCCCCAAGCUUAACUUGGGAACUGCCAUUGAUACUAUUUGUCUUGAAUACCGUGGAGGUGAGCGGAAUAUGUCAUGUAGCGGUGAAAUGCUUAGAUAUGACAUAGAACACCAAUUGCGAAGGCAGCUCGCUACACGGUUAUUGACGCUGAGGCACGAAAGCGUGGGGAUCAAACAGG
rnacentral:rRNA from 1 species